rnacentral:rRNA from 1 species
ACCGCUUGCGGCGCGCUUACACAUGCAAGUCGAGCGAGAACCAGGCCUUCGGGUCGGGGGAAAGCGGCGAACGGGUGAGUAACACGUGAGUAACCUGCCCUCGGCACCGGGAUAGCCCGGGGAAACCCGGAUUAAUACCGGAUAGCCAUUCGAGCUCUCGAGCCCGAGUGAAAAGGUAGCUUCGGCCUCUGGCCGAGGAUGGGCUCGCGGCGGAUUAGCUUGUUGGUGGGGUAAUGGCUCACCAAGGCGACGAUCCGUAGCUGGUCUGAGAGGACGAUCAGCCACACUGGGACUGAGACACAGCCCAGACUCCUACGGGAGGCAGCAGUGGGGAAUCUUGCGCAAUGGGCGAAAGCCUGACGCAGCGACGCCGCGUGCGGGAAGAAGGCCUUCGGGUUGUAAACCGCUUUCAGGAGGGACGAAGCCACUCGGGUGAAUAGCCUAGAGGGUGACGGUACCUCCAGAAGAAGCCCCGGCUAACUACGUGCCAGCAGCCGCGGUAAUACGUAGGGGGCAAGCGUUGUCCGGAUUUAUUGGGCGUAAAGCGCGUGUAGCGGCUUGGCAAGUCCGCUGUGAAAACUCGAGGCUCAACCUCGAGAUGUCGGUGGAAACUGCCUGGCUAAGUCCGGAA